UACGAAGGGUGCAAACGUUGCUCGGAAUUAUUGGGCGUAAAGCGCACGUAGGCGGCUCUGCAAGUCGGAUGUGAAAUCCCUCGGCUCAACCAAGGAAGUGCAUCCGAAACUGCGGAGCUUGAGUACUUAAGAGGAUCGCGGAAUUCCCGGUGUAGAGGUGAAAUUCGUAGAUAUCGGGAGGAACAUCAGUGGCGAAGGCGGCGAUCUGGGAAGUUACUGACGCUGAGGUGCGAAAGCCAGGGGAGCAAACGGG
rnacentral:rRNA from 1 species